rnacentral:rRNA from 1 species
UACGGAAAGUGCAAGCGUUGUUCGGAUUUAUUGGGCGUAAAGAGCACGUAGGCGGGUCUUUAAGUCGAUUGUGAAAUCCCCAGGCUCAACCUGGGAACUGCAGUCGAAACUGGAGAUCUUGAAUGUUCGAGGGGUUGGUGGAAUUCCAGGUGUAGAAGUGAAAUUCGUAGAUAUCUGGAGGAACACCGGAGGCGAAGGCGGCCAACUGGCGAAACAUUGACGCUGAGGUGCGAAAGCGUGGGGAGCAAACAGG